rnacentral:rRNA from 1 species
AACGUAGGUGGCGAGCGUUAUCCGGAUUCAUUGGGCGUAAAGAGCUUGUAGGCGGCGUCAUAAGUUGGACGUGAAAACUCCGGGCUUAACUUGGAGAGGCCGUUCAAUACUGUGAGGCUAGAGGGUGUCAGAGGGAAGUAGAAUUCCUGGUGUAGCAGUGAAAUGCGUAGAUAUCAGGAGGAACACCGGUGGCGAAGGCGGGUCUCUGGGCCGAUACUGACGCUGAGGAGCGAAAGCGUGGGGAGCGAACAGG